CCUACGGGGAGCAGCAGUAGGGAAUCUUCCACAAUGGGCGAAAGCCUGAUGGAGCAACGCCGCGUGGGUGACGAAGGUCUUCGGAUCGUAACACCCUGUUGAUAGAGAAGAAAGUGCGUGAGAGUAACUGUUCACGUUUCGACGGUAUCUGACCAGACAGCCCCGGCUAACUACGUGCCAGCAGCCGCGGUAAUACGUAGGUGGCAAGCGUUAUCCGGAGUGAUUGGGCGUAAAGGGAACGCAGGCGGUCUUUUAAGUCAGAUGUGAAAGCCGUGGGCUUAACCGGAGUAGUGCAUUGGAAACUGGGAGACUUGAGUGCAGAAGAGGAGAGCAGAACUCCAUGUGUAGCGGUGAAAUGCGUAGAUAUAUGGAAGAACACCAGUGGCGAAGGCGGCUCUCUGGGCUGUAACUGACGCUGAGGUGCGAAAGCGUGGGUAGCAAACAGGAUUAGAUACCCGUGUAGUC
rnacentral:rRNA from 1 species